AUCCAGCUGACGAGUACCAAAUAGAACGAAACGGGUGUCCUGGAU
rnacentral:hammerhead_ribozyme from 1 species